GUCUAGCUGUUGAAACAAUGAACUUGAUAUCUAUUCUCAAAUCUCAACUUGUAAUGUUGCUGUUAUUUGAUGAUUUUUCUAGUAGCUAGAUGGUGUAUCUAGCUCAAAAUUUUAGAUGACUUUAGUUUGAUAGUUGGUGAAGUUCCAUCUCAACUGGGGUUUAUAUUUUGGCCAUCUCCUAUCAAAGUUAGUUAAUCACUUCAUUAGUUUGGCA
rnacentral:misc_RNA from 1 species